ACGCCCCAUUUCUUCGACCCUCAACCUAUUUUAAACAUUUUAGCCUAAUAUCUCGAAAAUGCUCAAAGACUCCUGCGGUCUACGGUUUACACUAAACCUCAACCGUCGCCGGUAAUUCUCUUCCGCCGCCGCCGCCGCUGCUCAGAAUUAUUUCGCUUUCCAUCUCCGUCGUUGUGUAACUCACCUGUUGCUCACACUCGCCACUCCCAAGCAAUCUACUCUCAUUCUUCUUCACAUUUCUCCCUCUUUUUUGUCUGCUGACAGCAUUACUCUUCCCAUUUCCAUUCCGAUUGAAGUAAGUUGAAGUAUUAGAGUUGCUGUUCAUCGCUUCCAAAUGGAAGAAUCUCCUACACUUGGGAAGCGGAAAGACCCUGAAGAAGAAUCAGCUGUCGCAGAAACUGGCAACAACCAAGAAACGAGCUCCAAUAAGCGGCCUAAAGAAUCGAAAAACCUAGAAGGUGAGAAGGCCACUCCAAUUCAGGAAACUGUCUCCAACCGACGCAGUUUUGUGCGGACUUGUGUUCAUGAAGUAGCGGUUCCGGUUGGGUACUCUUCUACCAAAGAUGAGUCGGUUCAUGGAACCCUACCGGAUCCAGUUUACAAUGGUACAAUGGCAAAAACGUACCCGUUUACGCUCGACCCAUUUCAGCAGGUAUCGGUUUCUUGCUUAGAACGGAAUGAAUCUAUUUUGGUUUCUGCUCAUACUUCAGCUGGAAAAACUGCGGUUGCUGAAUAUGCCAUUGCAAUGGCUUUUAGAGACAAACAGAGGGUUAUAUAUACUUCCCCACUUAAGGCUUUGAGUAAUCAAAAGUAUAGGGAAUUGAGCCAAGAGUUCAAAGACGUGGGAUUGAUGACUGGAGAUGUCACUCUUUCGCCUAAUGCUAGUUGUUUAGUAAUGACGACGGAGAUACUUAGGGGGAUGCUUUACAGGGGUUCGGAAGUUUUGAAGGAAGUAGCAUGGGUAAUUUUUGAUGAAAUUCACUAUAUGAGAGAUAGGGAAAGAGGUGUUGUUUGGGAAGAAAGUAUAAUAUUUUUACCACCGGCUAUCAAAAUGGUCUUCCUUUCUGCAACAAUGUCCAAUGCCACAGAGUUUGCUGAGUGGAUAUGUAAUAUACACAAGCAGCCUUGUCAUGUGGUGUACACUGAUUUCCGACCAACUCCCUUGCAACAUUAUGUUUUUCCUGCGGGUGGCAAUGGGUUGUAUCUUGUGGUUGAUGAAAACGAACAGUUUAGGGAGGAUAAUUUUCUAAAGUUGCAGGAUACAUUUGCUAAACAAAAACAGAUUGUUGGCCGUAGGACUGCAAAUGGGAAAUCUAGCGGGAGAAUUGCUAAAGGUGGCAGUGCUUCCGGAGGUUCGGACAUUUAUAAAAUUGUUAAGAUGAUUAUGGAACGGAAUUUCCAACCAGUCAUUGUCUUCAGUUUCAGUAGAAGAGAAUGUGAACAGCAUGCGAUGUCCAUGUCCAAACUUGACUUUAAUACCCAAGAAGAAAAGGACACAGUGGAACAUAUUUUCAAAAAUGCAAUUCUCUGUUUGAAUGAAGAAGACAGAGAACUGCCUGCAAUUGAGUUAAUGUUACCUCUUCUCCAGAGAGGUAUUGCUGUUCAUCAUUCUGGGCUUCUUCCUGUAAUUAAGGAGUUAGUGGAGCUUCUUUUCCAGGAAGGUCUUGUUAAGGCACUUUUUGCCACAGAAACUUUUGCCAUGGGUUUGAACAUGCCAGCAAAAACAGUUGUCUUCACUGCCUUUAAAAAAUGGGAUGGUGAUAGUCACCGAUUUAUUGGAUCUGGUGAGUACAUUCAGAUGAGUGGAAGGGCUGGACGCCGUGGAAAAGAUGAGAGGGGUAUAUGUAUUAUAAUGAUUGAUGAGCAGAUGGAGAUGGGAACAAUUAAAGAAAUGAUUUUGGGCAAACCAGCUCCUCUUGUUAGUACUUUCAGACUGAGCUACUACUCAAUUCUAAAUUUAAUGAGCCGGGCCGAAGGGCAGUUUACAGCUGAGCAUGUUAUUAGACACUCAUUUCAUCAAUUUCAGCAUGAAAAGGCAUUGCCUGAUAUUGGGAAAAGAGUGUCAAAGUUAGAGGAGGAAGCCGCCACACUUGAGGCUUCAGGGGAGGCCGAAGUUGCUGAAUACCACAAGUUAAAACUUGACAUAGCACAACUUGAGAAGAAGAUGAUGUCUGAAAUAACAAGGCCAGAAAGAGUUCUCUAUUUUCUUCUUCCUGGUCGAUUGGUAAAGGUAAGAGAAGGUGGAACAGAUUGGGGUUGGGGAGUUGUAGUCAAUGUUGUUAAAAAGCCCUCAGCUGGGUUAGGCAUCUUGCCUUCACGUGGUGGUGCUUAUAUAGUGGAUACCUUACUCCAAUGCUCUCCUUGUCUAAGCGAGAAUAGUUCACGACCAAAACCUUGUCCACCCCGUCCUGGAGAAAAGGGUGAAAUGCACGUGGUCCCAGUUCAGCUGCCUCUUAUUUCAGCCUUGAGCAAACUCAGAAUAUCUAUUCCUUCUGAUCUCAGGCCCGUGGAAGCAAGGGAAAGCAUAUUGCUUGCAUUGGAAGAACUGGGAACUCGUUUUGCACAAGGUUUUCCAAAAUUGAAUCCAGUCAAGGACAUGAAUAUAGAAGAUCCAGAAAUUGUUGAGUUGGUGAAACAGAUCGAGGAACUUGAGCGGAAAUUAUACGCUCACCCUCUGCAUAAGUCACGUGAAGUGGACCAGAUGAAAUGUUUUCAGAGGAAAGCAGAAGUUAAUCAUGAAAUUCAAAUACUCAAGACCAAAAUGCGUGAUUCCCAGCUUCAAAAAUUUCGUGAUGAACUGAAGAAUCGUUCUAGGGUCUUGAAAAAGCUUGGUCACAUUGAUGCAGAUGGUGUUGUUCAAUUGAAGGGGCGUGCAGCCUGCUUGAUUGACACAGGAGACGAGCUUCUUGUUACUGAAUUAAUGUUUAAUGGCACAUUCAAUGACCUAGAUCACCACCAGAUUGCAGCCCUUGCAAGUUGUUUUAUACCAGGAGACAAGUCAAAUGAGCAGAUUCAAUUAAGAACCGAGCUUGCUAGACCAUUACAGCAACUCCAAGAUAGUGCAAGAAGAAUUGCUGAGAUACAACAUGAAUGCAAGUUGGAUAUAAAUGUGGAAGAAUAUGUGGAAUCAACAGUUAGGCCGUAUUUGAUGGAUGUCAUUUACUGUUGGUCAAAGGGAGCAAGUUUCUCAGAGGUGAUUCAAAUGACAGAUAUUUUCGAGGGUAGCAUCAUUCGAAGUGCUAGACGGCUUGAUGAAUUCUUGAAUCAGUUGCGCGCAGCUGCCAAUGCUGUGGGGGAGGUCAACUUAGAAAGCAAGUUUUCUGCAGCCAGUGACAGCCUUCGCAGAGGUAUAAUGUUCGCAAACUCACUCUAUUUGUAGAUUGUCCUCUGCUUUGGUUGCAUCUUCAGGGGUUCACGAAGCUCUGAGAUUGUGGUUUUCACCAACCAUUUUUCAUAGAGCUGAGGCGGAAGAUGGGAGCUUAGAGUGGUGGAAGAGAGCGAUGGGAUGAGUUUUUGUGGUGGAAAGGGAAGGGAGGUCUUAUAGACGCAAAUACCUCCAUUUCAAACAAAAUGGAGGAGUUGGGGUUCUUUACAUUAAGAAGGUCCUAUCAAAGAUAUUGAGUUGGUGGUAAUUUAGUACAAGGAUGGACUAUACCCUCGGCAGGCCUUGAACGGAGUAUGUAAUUACUAACUGUUGUUUUUCGAAUUAAUGCAUAUUAGAUAUUUUUACUACUAUUUUUAUUUAGUUCAUUUGCAAUGUUUGCUAGCUUUUAGGUUAAGCUUGUCUUACAUUUUAUACUUGACUUAGAUGGUUAACAAAAUCUGUAAUUUAUUCAUUUCUGUCAUUUAUAUUUCUUAGUGUAGGGGUUCAUCGUGAACUCUAGAAGUGAGAUUUUGUACUCCUUUACUGCUUAGCUCCCAAGGAAAAAACAAAAGAACCUAGAAAAAUAAAAGCUUAUUGUAGGACCCAAUCAACGAUAAUUCCUGAUCUUUCUCCAACAUGUGUUGGAAAUAGAGAGAUCAAUUUGCAUUCUAGCCUUCCAACUUUGGCAGUAUGUUGCAGACAAGAACUUUUCUUUGGCAAUAUCUAGCAGACUAGAACUUUUAUUCUCGCAAAUUCUGUCUUAAUGGACAUCAGAUCCUCACCAGUAUUGUGUGGACUUAAACUUCAUUCUAUUGCACUAUAAUGAAUUUAUUAUUUCCUUGCC